ensembl:lncRNA
UGACGGGAAUACCUUUACGGAUGAGAGCCACAUUCAACUCUUCCUGGAUGGGGAGGAGCUACUCACUGAAGAGCUGGAGGACAUCUCUAUGGGAUUGGGAGUGGCAAUGGGGGGGUCCAUUUCCUUUUUAAUAUUGAACUUCGCAGUGGGCUUUGAACUGGGCACCCGCCUCAUGCCUGGGAGGAAGCCCGGUUUCAAAACGAAUCCAAUCAACUUUCACCCGGAGCAAAACACGCAUACUGUCACGAUUUCCACCGAAGGUGGCUCCUCUCCCUGUUCGGGCGGUGCUCGGCGAUCCAUUUUUUUCUUUUCGUUUGUGUCUGUCUGUUUUUUCUUUACACCUGUGUCCUAUUAGUUCAUUUCGGUGGGUUUAUUAACCUGCGCUGCCUGCUAUUCUGUGUGCGGGAUUAUUUGCUGUUGUUGCUAUGUUAGGGGUGCGUGUUUGCGCCACGGGAUUUUCUUUUAGGAGUAGAGGUUUCUCCUCCGUGUGUUGCGUUUAUUCCCUGUGUGUGGCGACUUCGUUUGGGCGUGUUCUUCCACCUGUUGUUGUUGAGUUGGGACUUCUAAUAAACGAUUGUGCUACUGGGGCUUCCUUGCUCUCCUGCUCAUGACUCCUGAACCUCCCUCAUUUUAGGAGGCACGCAACACAUACCCAGGCCAGAUGAAUCAAAUCCCCUCAUCCUCCGCUAUUUUUCAGUUCCCCCUCACCCCCACUAGGUAAAUUCUUUCUUGAGAAAUAUUUUCUUGCUAAAAAGCUAUUGUUGCCCAUUUUAAUGGAAAUCUAAAAGAAGCUACCUUUAACUCAAUUACUUUUUUAUUUUUACCCCCUUUUUCGUGGUACCCAAUUGUUGUUAGUAAUAACUAUCUUGUCUCAACCAAUGUGUCAGAGGAAACACCGUGCACCUUGGUUAGCGUCGCCCCACGGACAUCCUAGGCCAAUUGUGCGUCGCCCCACGGACCUCCCGGUAACACUAGCGCGAACAUAGAGUCUCCGCUGGCACCGCUGGCGCUGCCUUAGACCACUGCACCACCCGGGAGUUAACUCAAUUAAAUUUGUGUUCCUCUGUGAACUUGAAAUUGGAGAUUUAAGGCACGUUCCAGUAUAGGUUGUUUUCAUUGCCAGGCACUCUUCACAGAUGAUCAGAUGAGAAAUGCACUCAAUCCCAAUCGCCACACUCUAAUAAGAAAACGUUUCUGGAGGCACCUUUAGGUGUUCCUCAGAUUGCAACACUGGCGGAACCCCUAUAGGUGCUUAAAUGUUGUAUUAGGAAUGUACCUUAGAGUAAUGUGAGUGCAUUUUUUUCUCAAGAGCAUUGGAAAGCUAUGUACAUGUUAAAUUUGACAGCAAGAAAUAGCUUGCAAGUUUCCCAAGAAACUAGAUAGGUGUCGUUUAGUCUUCAGCAUUGGUACAGUUUUCAUUUGAAAGAUUCCUCAGUGAAAUGGGGCCACAGACAGGGCCCAGAUAGGCUACGUCAUACUUUUUGGGCGUGGACCAAGUUAGCAAGCUAGGAGCUAGCUAGCAGAAACAGACCGACCUGACACCCCGAAACACAUCUAGCUAGCUAUACUACCAAUCGUGGUAGUGAUAAUAUUGUCACUGAAUUCAAAUUAACAGGUAUCUAUGUUUAUUUUUCAACUAAUGUGAUUUGUGAUAAUACCUUUAGCUUGUGAGUCCUUGCUUGCUGUUUAGGUCAGCCAAUUUGAUCAAGCUAGCAAGCCAGGUAGCGAACGUUAAGCGCUAACUUAUCUAGCUAACGCCAGGCCUGACAUUUGUGUCUGACUGUCGACGAUAAUGAACUUAUUCUUAUCUAAUAACGUUAGACACACUGACUUAAUCAAGCUAGUUUGUUAUGUGUAAAUUAAAUAGUAUGUUUCGUGAUAAUGGAUUUAGCUAGCCAGCUAAAUUAAUAUAACUGACGUUAGCUAGCUAGUAGCAACAAUGUGCUAGCUACAUUCAUAAUGCGCUAGCCUGUUAGAUAGCUAAUCAUGUCUUGUGACGUUAUACAUUCUAAAUCGCUGCAAAUGCUACAUAACUUCAUUCACUUACCUAAAAGUAAAAUACAAUGUAGAUGGCCAGCUAGGUAACUAGCUAGCUGAGUAAAGGUAAUUAGCUAACGUUAUCUAAGCAUUGCAAAAAUACCCUUAU